rnacentral:tRNA from 1 species
UCUAAAAUGGCAGACCAUUGCAUAAGAUUUAAGCUCUUAAUAGGAAAUUAUAAUUUCUUUUAGAA